rnacentral:lncRNA from 1 species
GAUCUGUCCAAAUUCAAAGCCCGUCAAAGGCAUAUGAAAUCAUGCGAAGGAUUUGAGCCCAUCGAAAUGAUGUUCAGGGGGCUAAACCCAAGUAGCUUUGGCUCAUGAUCCAAGAGACCCGAAACUCGUUAAUCAUGCUAUCCUUACCUUCUAACUAACCUCUUCGAGUUUGCUUACCCUAACACUGAUUGAUUAGGCGUAACUGUUGAAGCAGGUUAUGCAGAGGUUGUUCACACAGGCAAUGUGACUUCACUUUGUAGUUAGUUUGCUCAUUAAACAGGAGUGUAUAGUACUCAACUGCGAAAAACUAAAAAAAUGGUGCUUAUCAUCAAAUUCGUGCCGCAUGGCGAGAUUACUCUACUUCUACUCUAUAAAUAGAAAGAUAUCCAUAACAAUGAUGAUAAAGUUUGCCAUACCUUUCUAAUUGCCCAAUUUGACACUAACACCAUUGGCUACACCACGAGCAUCUUGUGCCUCAAUAUUCACAGUCUUGACGCUAGAGAUAGUUGGGGCUAUGAACUCUAGUCUCUUUGUUGGGACCUCAAUCAAAAUUGUGACUUGCUCCUUUGUCCAAAUUCUGAGCCCGUCAUCAAAGCAAGCCCAAGUCCAUGCAAGAAGGCCCUCCAGAUCUGUCCAAAUACAAAGCCCAUCAGCAUAUGAAAUCAUGCAAAAGAUCCAAGCCCAACCAAAUGAUGUUCAAGGGAAACCCAAGUAGCUCUGGCUCAUAAUCCAACAGACCCGAAACUCAUUAAUCAUGCUAUCCUUACCUUCUAACUAGCCUCUUCGAUUUCUUUUAUCCUAACAGUGAUUAAUUAGGUGUAACUGUUGAAGCUGGUUAUCCAGAGGUUGUUCACACAGGCAGUGUGACUGGACUUUGUAGUUAGUAUGCUCUAAACAGGCAUGUAUAGCACUCAACUGCAAAAAACUAAUAAAAAUGGUGCCUAUCAUCAAAUUCAUGCCAUAUGGCGGGAUUACUCUACUUCUACUCUAUAAAUAGAAAGAUAUCCUUAAUAAAGAUAUUUAUAACAAUGAUGGGAAAGUUUGCCAUAGCUUUCUAAUUACCCAAUUUGACACUAACACCAUUGGCUACACCACAAGCAUUUUGUGCCUCGAUAUUCACAAUUUGAUGCUAGAGUUAGUUGGGGCAAUGAACUCUAGUCUCCCUGUUGUGACCUCGAUCAAAAUUAUGAGUUGCUCCUCUGUCUAAAUUCAAAGCCGGUCAUCAAAGCAAGCGCAAGUCCAUGCAAGAAGGCCCUCCAAAUCAGUAGAAAUUCAAAGCCCGUCAAAGGCAUAUGAAAUCAUGCAAAGGAUCCGAGCCAAUCCAAAUGAUGUUCAGGGGGCUAAACACAAGUAGCUCUGGCUUAUGAUCCAAGAUACCCAAAGCUCGUCAAUCAUGCUAUCCUAACCUUCUAACUAACCUCUUCGAUUUCGCUUAUCCUAACAGUGAUUGAUUAAGCGUAAUUAUUGAAGCUGGUUAUGCAGACGUUGUUCACACAGGCAAUCUGGCUUCACUUUGUAGUUAAUUUGCUCAUUAAACAGGCAUGUAUAGUACUCGACUGUGAAAAAAUCAUAAACAUGGUGUCUAUCAUCAAAUUCGUGCCCCAUGAUGGGAUUACUCUACUUCUACUCUAUAAAUAGAAAGAUAUCCAUAACAAUGAUGGUAGAGUUUGCCAAACUUUUCUAAUUGCCCAAUUUGACACUAACACCAUUGGCUACACCACGAGCAUCUUGUGCCUUGAUAUUCACAGUCUUGAUGCUAGAGUUAGUCGGGGCAAUGAAUUUUAGUCUUUUUGUUGUGACCUCAAUCAAAAUUGUGACUUGCUCCUUUGUCCAAAUACAAAGCCCGUCAUCAAUGCAAGUCCAAGUCCAUGAAAGAAGGCCCUCCAUAUCUGUCCAAAUUCAAAGUCGGUGAAAGGCAUUUGAAAUCAUGCAAAGGAUCCGAGCCCAUCCAAAUGUUGUUCAGGGGGCUAAACCCAAGUAGCUCUAGCUCAUGAUCCAAGAGACCCGAAACUAGUUAAUCAUGUUAUCCUUACCUUCUAACAAACCUCUUCAAUUUCGCUUAUCCUAACAGUGAUUGAUUAGGCGUAACUGUUGAAGCUGGUUAU